rnacentral:lncRNA from 10 species
AUAAAAGGUGGGAGCCUCUUGAAUGGAAUGUGGGGGUUUUUCUCUCUCCCCAUAGGAUAGAUAUAUUCUGUUUCUUGUCCCCCAUUGAGUCAAGAAUAAUUUAACAUUUGGCAUAAGACACUGCUGAAGAAAAAUAGGUUGAAUAAGCUAACAUUUUUCUUCUUUUUGCAGGAUAUAGAAGACUUAGAUCACUAUGAGAUGAAAGAAGAGCCUAUUAGUGGGGAAAAGUUGGAGGAUGAAGGAAUUGAAAAAGAAAAUUUGGCAAUAUUAGAGAAAAUUAGGCAAGACCAUUUAAAUGUGAUAACUUUCCAGUUGAUCCUCCAUUUGUUUGAGUGGUGUUACCUGUUCUCUCAGGAAGUUAAAAGAAUAUUGGCAGAGAAACAGCCCUGCUGUUCCAGGAGAAGCAAAGAGUAACAGGAAAACGAAUGGCAGUAACCCAGAGACAUCCACUUCUGAUGGUUGCCACUCACCUGGGGAUGUGAGUGUUGGUGGCCAGGCUCCUGGGGACAGGGGGCCGAAGGGGCAGUAGAGGGUAAUUGUUAAGAUUGUGGAUGGACUGUUGGGUACUGGUUAAGAAUUCUGGGUUUAGCCGGGCACAGUGGCUCACACUUGUAAUCCCAGCACUUUGGGAGACCACCCUGGGCAGAUCACAAGGUCAGAAAAUUGACACCAUCCUGCCUAACAUGGUGAAACCCCGUCUUCACUGAAAAAUACAAAAAAAAUUAGCCAGCAUGGUGGUGGGUGCCUGUAUUCCCAGCUGCUCGGGAGGCUGAGGCAGGAG